GACGAACGCUGGCGGCGUGCUUAACACAUGCAAGUCGAACGGAAAGGCCCUGCUUUUGUGGGGUGCUCGAGUGGCGAACGGGUGAGUAACACGUGAGUAACCUGCCCUUGACUUUGGGAUAACUUCAGGAAACUGGGGCUAAUAACGGAUAGGAGCUCCUGCUGCUUGGUGGGGGUUGGAAAGUUUCGGCGGUUGGGGAUGGACUCGCGGCUUAUCAGCUUGUUGGUGGGGUAGUGGCUUACCAAGGCUUUGACGGGUAGCCGGCCUGAGAGGGUGACCGGCCACAUGGGGACUGAGAUACGGCCCAGACGCCUACGGGGGGCAGCAGGGGGGAAUAUUGCACAAUGGGGGGAAGCCUGAUGCAGCAACGCCGGGUGCGGGAUGACGGCCUUCGGGUUGUAAACCGCUUUCUGCUGUGACGAAGCGUGAGUGACGGUAAUGGGUAAAGAAGCACCGGCUAACUACGUG
rnacentral:rRNA from 1 species